GAACUCAGGACAUCCCUCUGGGAGUCUGGAGUUUCCUGGGACCCUUGCCAGGGGGCUCAGAGACCCUGGCACACAGACGGUAUAGGGAUAAAGUAUUCACAGAGUGUAAAUGUAGGUUUUAGGAUUUUUGGUAUAGGGGUUUCUGGUGACAAGAUGGAGGGAUUUGGGCGUGUCUAGCCUUUCUUCUUCUUCUCUACCUCCAUCUUGUCUGGUGAUGUUGGCACUUUUAGAUUGGUCUAGAGUAGAAACUCACUGUCUAGCGUAGAUGAUAGGUAUUGGAAAAUAACUGUAAAUAUUGUACACGUAGUUUGUAGUAUAUAAAGAUAACACCGCCCUGGGGGAGGGGCAGUGCCUCUGACUGUCCUGCCGAACAGAUCUUGGCUGGACAGGGAGAAAGAAUUUUAUAGAUAAGAUGUAAUAAACAACCUUGAGACCGAAAAAUGAAGAGCCCUGACUCCUUCUUCGAGCACCGGGCUGGGAAAAGAAACUUUUGAACUUUUUCGGGGUCACUCUGACCGGCUAGAGAGAGAGAGAGACCCCAACAACUGGCGUUCCCUGGGUGGGCUCGAAGAGAGCGCGGCAACUGGUGUUUCCUGGGUGAGCUCGAAGAAAGAUGCACAAUUGGAGUUCCCUGGCUUGGCUGCAAGAAAGACCCGGCAUUUGGCAUUCCCAGGUGGGCUGCAAGAGAACAACCCCGAUGGGUGGAAAGAGAGACGGCUGCAAGAGGUGGGCAGCAAGAGAGCACCCAGGUGGGCAGUUGGCAGGCAGCCACGCCACCAGACAUCAGCCGCUGAAACACAGCCCGUGAAGAAAAAAAAAAAAGGACAAGGAAAAGGAACAAGCACUCCCAAAAAGAAAAAAAAAAAGAAGAAAAAAAAAAAGAGAGAAAAAAAAUACCCAAAAUAUCCAAGAUCCAACUUCUGCCGAACAGACUUGCAUCCAGAUCUGGCAGGGGGUCCAGUGACCAGGGCGACCUCCAGACCGACCUUGCAAAGGAUUCAGCUUUUGUUAUUACAGAGGUACCUCAGCCAAGAUUUCAAGAAGUCGACUGUGUUUGAAGAAUUUCUAUCCCAACAGAAGUUUCAGAGGGAUCCAAUUAUUAAAUGGACCCAUUCUUCACCUCCAAGAUUUUGAGAAAAUCCUCCAGUCUCUUCAGGGACGUGGAUUUGUUUGUGUUUUAGCAGGUACAAAAGUCCAGGUGAACCUCAGUGAAGAAUGUGAAACUCCAUCCAGUGCAAGACGAUGUUGACAAGAAGCGCAGGAAAGAAAACGCUGGCCAUUCCAUAAGCAGAAAAGAAGAUGUACAGAUGUGGACUGCACAGAGAUUCCAACCCUUGUGCUUUGCCCACAGAAGACUGUGGACUUUGGGUCACUUCAUGGGUGUGGAAAUCAGUGGUGUUGUAAAAUUGUUGUUAGAUGAUAGCUUGUUAUAUUUUAGUAAGGCUUUUAGUUCUCUUGUUCAUUAUGCCAUGCAUUCUUUUGUGUAUACGGCGGGUUGUGAACCAGGUUGUCAAAGAGGUCUUCUUGGUGCAAACAGAAGGGGGAGAUGUCGGAACUCAGGACAUCCCUCUGGGAGUCUGGAGUUUCCUGGGACCCUUGCCAGGGGGCUCAGAGACCCUGGCACACAGAUGGUAUAGGGAUAAAGUAUUCACAGAGUGUAAAUGUAGGUUUUAGGAUUUUUGGUAUAGGGGUUUCUGGUGACAAGAUGGAGGGAUUUGGGCGUGUCUAGCCUUUCUUCUUCUUCUCUACCUCCAUCUUGUCUGGUGAUGUUGGCACUUUUAGAUUGGUCUAGAGUAGAAACUCACUGUCUAGCGUAGAUGAUAGGUAUUGGAAAAUAACUGUAAAUAUUGUACACGUAGUUUGUAGUAUAUAAAGAUAACACCGCCCUGGGGGAGGGGCAGUGCCUCUGACUGUCCUGCUGGACAGGGAGAAAGAAUUUUAUAGGUAAGAUGUAAUAAACAACCUUGAGACCGAAAAA